GACGAACGCUGGCGGCGUGCCUAAUACAUGCAAGUCGAACGCUGAAGGAGGAGCUUGCUUCUCUGGAUGAGUUGCGAACGGGUGAGUAACGCGUAGGUAACCUGCCUGGUAGCGGGGGAUAACUAUUGGAAACGAUAGCUAAUACCGCAUAAGAGUAGAUGUUGCAUGACAUUUGCUUAAAAGGUGCAAUUGCAUCACUACCAGAUGGACCUGCGUUGUAUUAGCUAGUUGGUGGGGUAACGGCUCACCAAGGCGACGAUACAUAGCCGACCUGAGAGGGUGAUCGGCCACACUGGGACUGAGACACGGCCCAGACUCCUACGGGAGGCAGCAGUAGGGAAUCUUCGGCAAUGGACGGAAGUCUGACCGAGCAACGCCGCGUGAGUGAAGAAGGGUGUCGGAUCGUAAAGCUCUGUUGUAAGAGAAGAACGAGUGUGAGAGUGGAAAGUUCACACUGUGACGGUAUCUUACCAGAAAGGGACGGCUAACUACGUG
rnacentral:rRNA from 1 species